AGGGAGAGGGGAAUGACAGGGAGCAGGGGAGGGAGUGGGGAAUGACAGGGGGCAGGGGAGGGAGAGGGGAAUGACAGGGGCAGGGGAGGGAGAGGGGAAUGACAGGGGCAGGGGAGGGAGAGGGGAAUGACAUGGGGCAGGGGAGGGAGAGGGGAAUGACAGGGGGCAGGGGAGGGAGAGGGGAAUGACAUGGGGCAGGGGAGGGAGAGGGGAAUGACGGGCAGGGGAGGGAGAGGGGAAUGACGGGCAGGGGAGGGAGAGGGGAAUGACAGGGGACAGGGGAGGAUGGGAAACAGCGUGGGGGUGCUGAUAGGACUGCACAGAGGCACCAGCAUCAUUUAUGCAGAGUUUGGCUGAGGGGUGGAGGGUGUCUAGGAUCCCCUCAAUAGCCCUGGAGGGUGGUGUGAAAGAGGGUGUAUUUUUGGAGGGGAGGGGAGGAGGAGGAGGGGGGUGGGGUGGCUGGGCUCUGUGCUCAAUGACGCCUGUCUGCUCUGCUGCAUACUAAUUCUGCAUCCCCACCACAGCCACCAAUGUCAGCUAGUAGUGAGGCUCAUGAGAAGCAGGGUGCAUCGAGAGAAAGACAGGCAGCUCAGUGGGGAGGCUCUGCAGAGGGAGAUUGGUAUAUGCUGGAUGUUUGUGUGUGCUGCUGGGCUGUUGGCCCAGGACCUGUGGUAUGAGCCUGGUGGUUGCAGUGUGUGGACGGCCAGAUGAUGGUUGAGUGUGGUGAUGUGGUCAGACAGUUUAAUGACAGUUCUUAGCCAUAGACAUAUCACACAGACAACACUGACACACUGACAACACUGACAACACUGACAACACUGACAACACUGAUAUACUGACAACACUGACACACUGACAACACUGAUAUACUGACAACACUGACACACUGACAACACUGACACACUGACACACUGACAACACUGACAACACUGACAACACUGAUAUACUGACACACUGACAACACUGACACACUGACAACACUGACACACUGACAACACUGACACACUGACACACUGACAACACUGACACACUGACACACUGACACACUGACAACACUGACACACUGACACACUGACAACACUGACCCACUGACACACUGACACACUGACACACUGACAACACUGACACACUGACAACACUGACACACUGACACACUGACACACUGACAACACUGACACACUGACAACACUGACACACUGACACACUGACAACACUGACACACUGACAACACUGACACACUGACACACUGACAACACUGACAACACUGACACACUGACAACACUGACAACACUGACAACACUGACACACUGACAACACUGACACACUGACAACACUGACAACACUGACAACACUGACACACUGACAACACUGACACACUGACACACUGACACACUGACAACACUGACAACACUGACACACUGACAACACUGACACACUGACAACACUGACACACUGACACACUGACAACACUGACACACUGACAACACUGACACACUGACACACUGACCUACUGACAACACUGACACACUGACACACUGACAACACUGACACACUGACACACUGACAACACUGACACACUGACAACACUGACACACUGACACACUGACCUACUGACAACACUGACACACUGACACACUGACAACACUGACACACUGACACACUGACAACACUGACAACACUGACACACUGACACACUGACAACACUGACACACUGACACACUGACACACUGACACACUGACACACUGACAACACUGACAACACUGACACACUGACACACUGACACACUGACAACACUGACAACACUGACACACUGACACACUGACAACACUGACACACUGACACACUGACAACACUGACACACUGACACACACCAUAGGACACAUGAGUGUGAUACAUGAUGUAAUGUCUCAGAAAGAGAUUGUUCUGUCAUAAUGAAAAAUGAGACUGGCACAUAAUCACAGAUACUAUAUAAGUUGUCUCCUUUGAAAAUGUUGAUCAGUAAAUAUAUUGAAUCCCACAAGUAUCAAAAUUCAGUUUAGAUCAAACGUUACAUCAUUUUUUAUGCAUAUAAAAAUGUUCAUUGUAAACACUCUCACAAAGAAAAAGUCUAUUGUGGCAGCAGAAAGGGUGGUUCUCUGAUGACAUCGUCAUGGUAACUACCAGCAGGAGCAACAUAAAGACUGCAACUGGGCUGUGGGAGCUUUGUCUCUGGUCCUGGUGGGCCAAAAGGCCUGAGAGGAGGGGAGAGGGAGAGAGGAAAGAGAGGGGUAGAGGGAUGGAGACAGAGAGAGAGAGAUAGAGAGUGAAAGAGUUUGGUUUGACCUGACUGACAGAAACUUGGGGAAACCUGAAGUUGUGUCCAUCCAGUCCGUCCAGUCUGGCCCAACCAAAAAGUAGGGGCUCAUUAAAAUGUCAUUGGAUCACGCCUCGCAUGAAUCGUGUGAUUUUCCCUCCACCAUAAGUGACCAUGACUGAGUGGUGAAUGGGGGACUGGGGAGAGCUGGGCCAAUAGAGUGCCAUGCUGAGUCCCCAUGGGUACCAGCCCCUCACCGAGGGGGGCUCAUUUAACCAUUGUUCGUCUGUUAACACAGCUUUUUAAAACGCCUCUUUAUGGACUCAGCAAAGCACACUUCAUUCCAUGUCUCCACAGCCACAAGGAGAAAAAAAGACUAAAAAGAAAAGAAAAAAGUGAAGUCGCAAGAAAAACAGCUUGAAAGCAAGAAAGAUAGAAAGUAUAAGAAGAUGUAUAACUGUGUUAAGAUUAUUCUCCUAACCACGAUCCAAAAAUAACUACUCUCAGUGGGCUACCUCAUAGUUCAACUUAAAAUGAUUUACAUUUCUCUCACAACUAGUAUUAUCUAUUAAACAUGUAAUACAUUCACUAUUAUGUCCAAAACAUUCUAAUCCCCCUGCAAUAUCUUAUAUUACAGUUUUUUAGAUCACAAUGAUCCUAUUUGAUGACCACGGAUAGAUCCUACAUUAGACUAACUAGAUUAUUAAAAGCAGGUCAAUGACAAGCUCCAUCCUCUCUGGUCCUCUGUGAUACAGUCAGUACUGACUCAUGUCCUCCCAGGACUGUGGAGUUCCUACAGCAGAAACAAUAAGAACAUCAGCAUCAGCCUGCAGUAUGUUCAUCCUCCAAUGGAAACAACAGGCCUGUCUCAUGUACGGAGUCUUCCACAGUCUCACACAACAGCCAGGAUGACAGUAAAAUAAAUAGCAAUGAGGUAAAGUUCACAACAAUAGAGAUACUGGAAAGUGUGUGUGUGUGUGUGUGUGUGUGUGUGUGUGUGUGUGUGUGUGUGUGUGUGUGUGUGUGUGUGUGUGUGUGUGUGUGUGUGUGUGUGUGUGUGUGUGUGUGUGUGUGUGUGUGUGUGUGUGUGUGUGUGUGUGUGUGAGAGAGAGAGAGAUUGUGUCGAUGCACUCAGGAAUAUCUCAAAAUGAACACCAAACUGCGUUGUAGAGAGGAGUCCCCACAAAGCUGGAAAAGCUCACACCUUCCUCCCUCCCUCCCCUUUCCCGUCACCCUACGCUUGCUGAGUGAGGACCCCCCCCACCCCCCAUUCUAUUCUUUAGCUGUCUGCUGCGUGCCUGAUGGAAAAGCGGAGUGACACAGGGGUGCUACGCCAAAGGCAAAAGCCCAUUUGUAAAUCACAGCCCAACAUAAACAGUGUUUAAUGGGGGUUUUUGGAUGUUUUUGGCAGGGGUACACCUCCUAGCUGCUAGCUUUAACAGCAAUCUAACACAAGCCCAGACAGCUAUAGCCCAGUGUGGAAACACCUUCCUCCCCACCACAGCCCUCUUCCUCCAGCCAGCCGAGCUGAUGGUCUUUGGGCAACAAAUGAAUCAGAAUACAUUUACAUAGAGAUUGUGCUACGCUGGCAGAGGUUGGUCACCGCUGAGAAUGUAUACAAAAAAUAUGUGGUGAGGAUGCAGGUUUUAUGUUGUGGUGAGGAGGCAGUGGCAGAGGAUUGUCAAAUAAGCCAGGCUCCCAAUGUGCCAAUGUUCUCUUUUCACUAAUGACAUCAGUGGUAGAUAGGGGUGAUAGAGACACCACAGCACAGAGACACCACAGCACAGACACACCACAGCACAGAGACACCACAGCACAGAGAUACCACAGCACAGCACAGAGACACCACAGCACAGCACAGAGACACCACAGCACAGAGACACCACAGCACAGAGACACCACAGUACAGCACAGAGACACCACAGCACGGAGACACCACAGCACAGCACAGAGAAACCACAGCACAGAGACACCACAGCACAGAGACACCACAGCACAGCACAGAGACACCACAGCACAGAGACACCACAGCACAGAGACAUCACAGCGCAGAGACACCACAGCGCAGAGACACCACAGCACAGAGACACCACAGCACAGAGACAGCACAGAGACACCACAGCACAGACACACCACAGCACAGACACACCACAGCACGGAGACUGACUGAACAAAGACACUUUUACUGCCUACGAGGCUGACACCAGCUAGGCACUCUGCAGCUAGAUAUACUGGGGUACAACAUAUGACAAAGAACACACACCAACAUGUACCCACUGACAAAAUCAGACCUUCGUACACUUACAGCUUAAGCCCUGAAGUACUCACACACACUAUCCCUCACACAAAUAUUAUGUGCACACACACACAUCUAAGGAGACACCACUAGCACCAUGCUGCUGUAUCUCUAGCAUCAUAGAUAGGCAGCUAUCUAUCUAUCUAAUCCCAAAAUGGCUGCUACCUCAGUGAAUAAUAAGAAUAAGAAUUAGAAGCAGCAGCAGCAACUUCAUGUUAGCUGAUAUGAUGGAUGUCAAUACAAGAGGGGCCUUUUGAAGUAAACGGAAGCAUAUUAACAAUAUACCAUUACUUCAAACCAAAACGUAUUGCUAUGUAAUAAAUCAUUAUUGGCCAUUAUGGAAGUUAAUGUCAAACAUUUUCAUGUUAAAAUCUACUUCAUUCCAUGCACAAUUUAUACUAAUGUAUCUAGGCAAUUAAAAGGUUAAGCAUGUUUGUAGAAUGGAUAAAAUACACUUGGAAAGGAAAAUAUUUCUGUUUAUAUUAUAAUGAAAUAUCAGCAAAUUUGACACUAUUUUACACAACUCAUCUCAGAACAUACAUUUUAAGCAAUAUUAUUAUGCAUCUACAUUACGAGCAAAAACACAAACAACUAGACCGCAUCUUCUGUUUUAGGAUACAUCACAACUAGCUAUGCCAAAAAAAACAAAGGAUGAGAGAGAGAGGAAAGAGAGAGAGGGACAGAGAGAGGGGGGGGAGAGAGAGUGUGGAGAGAAAGGGGUCAGCAAGGACAAAGCUAAAUGUGUACCCGUGUGUGUGUCAACCCCAGCUGAGCAGACAUUUUGUUGACAUGCUGAUAGGGAUUUAAGCAGUGGGUGGGUGGCGGACCAAGGUGAGAGAAUGACGGGAGAAGGAGAGCUUUGCGGUGGUGGGGUGACGAGAGAGAGGGGCUCACAAACAUGCUGUUACUAAGCUUUAUUUCAGCAUGAGUUGAGACGAUUAGGUUCGGGAGAGGAGGAGAGGAUAGGGGAGGAGAGGAGGGGGUACGGUUCCUCCAGAGGAGAGGACAGGGGGAUAGGUCUAUUGAGGUAGUGAUGGGGAGAAGGGCUCUCUGUCAGCCCGGCUAAUGAAGCAGAAGCCAUUGUGAAUAAUGGAAUCUACCACCAAAGUCCCUCCUCUUAAAGGGAUAUCAUUGUUUACACUGCUGAAGGGUAGUGAUACUGUACUGUGUGUAUGCAUGGUUCAGCACACCAAAUACCGUAACAUGGCAAUGAUAAGGUAUCUGAACAUUUCUAAUAAAGGUUAUUUAUUUAAACCAUUUAUCAGUGAUAUAGUGCUUUAAAAAAUCUAAUAUGUCUCAAAUUCCAAAGUGAUAUUCAAUGCAGAUUGUCUUACCAACAUGGCAUAAUAUAUUAUU
rnacentral:lncRNA from 1 species